GGCACUCUGACCAGCCAUGCCGCGUGCAGGAAGACAGCCCUCUGGGUCGUAAACUGCUUUUAUUCGGGAAUAAACCUACUUACGUGUAAGUAGCUGAAUGUACCGAAGGAAUAAGGAUCGGCUAACUCCGUGCCAGCAGCCGCGGUAAUACGGAGGAUCCAAGCGUUAUCCGGAUUUAUUGGGUUUAAAGGGUGCGUAGGCGGCUUUUUAAGUCAGGGGUGAAAGACGGUAGCUCAACUAUCGCAGUGCCCUUGAUACUGAAGAGCUUGAAUGGACUAGAGGUAGGCGGAAUGUGACAAGUAGCGGUGAAAUGCAUAGAUAUGUCACAGAACACCGAUUGCGAAGGCAGCUUACUAUGGUUUAAUUGACGCUGAGGCACGAAAGCGUGGGGAUCAAACAGGAUUAGAUACCCUGGUAGUCCACGCCCUAAACGAUGAAUACUCGCUGUUAGCGAUACACAGUUAGCGGCUAAGCGAAAGCGUUAAGUAUUCCACCUGGGGAGUACGGUCGCAAGAUUGAAACUCAAAGGAAUUGACGGGGGCCCGCACAAGCGGAGGAGCAUGUGGUUUAAUUCGAUGAUACGCGAGGAACCUUACCCGGGCUUGAAAGUUAGUGAAUCAUUUAGAGAUAGAUGAGUGAG
rnacentral:rRNA from 1 species